rnacentral:lncRNA from 10 species
GUUUGGCCUUUGUACGCAGCUACGAGAAGGCGCUCUGAAAGUGCAGCGACCGCAUCUUGCUGGCUCAUGAAUUAGGAAAGAAAGGUUUUCAGGGAAGCGGUAGACAAGUUCCUUCAGCUCAACACGAAGUCACUGGCCCGGCCUGGCACCCAGAGCUUCCAGAACACUUCCUCCUUCUGAGAAGAUCUACUCCCACAGGUAGGGCCCUUAACACAGUACUACCUAUGAGGACACUCAGCACUGACUGCUCACGGAACCUGGUGCCCACCAGGACUAUUUGCGAAAGAAGGGAAAUGACAGGGUGGACACGCUCUGCUUUAGCAAGCCCAUGACUCAUUAUAAAUACACCCCACUGUCACAAAGAAACAAGUAUGUUUAUUUCUUGAGCCAUUUAAAGCACAAAAACUCUCUUCUUCUAACUCUGUCACUGAAUCUUUUGAAAUAACCACCUCUGCAGGAGGCAUAGAGGCUGUUACAGUGAAAGCUGAGUGACAUCUGAAUAUUAUUCAGGAAACCUGUGACAUACCCUUCCAAGAAAAGCUGCUUACAGAUGUAAAAAUCACAUAGGAGGAAUAAGCACAUAUCACCGAAUAAAGAUGUGACUGACAGAAGGCUUGGGAGGUAGAGACCGUCCCUUUUUAUGUAGGACAAUAACUUAUUGACUGACCAGCACUGCUAGACCACCAGAGCCUCCAAGUCAGGGCUGGGCACUCCCAUCACUUGGCAAAUGACCAUGCGCAUACUCAAAGUUCAGACCAAGUGUUAUCUCUGCUAAGCCUUCUGCUGUCCCUGCCUUGCCCUAGACAAGAUG